GAAACGAUUCAUACUGCAAGCCGCCUAAAUGCAGGGCUUUUGAUGAUAUUCCCCGCCAACAAGGAUGAGUCAAGGCCUGCCUUGAUGUUGCUCUGUGUCCUACCAGCAAUUCUUCCUGGAAUCGUCUGUUCACAUGGAUGUCUAAAUGUUUAAGCACCCAUGCAUGAAGGUGGGGCUUGCCUCCAUCUGGCUCUCCUGCCACUUUCAACAACACACCCCACAUCCGAUCCUGCUUAGAGUCGAAGAUGAAUCUGGCAUAAUACAAACAGCACUGGACUGGAAGCAUGAAGUUUCUCUUAUCUGUGCCUUGGUUUCCUCAUGUGGAAAAUGAAAAUGUUGACAUAAAUAAUCACACAGGUCUCUGUUAGUACCAUUUUGUGAUUUUAUAUCGUGCUUACCACACCUAGAAACAGGGGCCAUCAUUCCAGCCAGCUAACAGAGAAAAAGACGAUACAUAAUCAGGCUUGGGAAAAUAAAUUUCAGAGACCAAGUAAACAAAGACAACAAUCUAGUAUAAGGGUUAUAACUGGGGGAUGAGGGGUUGCAAAUGGAGAUCUGCCACAGUCAACUCUAUUUGGAUUCCCCUGUUCUCAACAGGCAACAGCAAUCAUAAUGGGCUUGGAGCACCAGUCCCACAACAUCACAGGACAUCCAGACAUAAUUGCAUUAAUAAUGUUGUGCAUAAUCGCACAACUCUCUGGUUAUUCAGCAUCGUCCAAUAUGUGAAUAAAGCUCUGAGGAAAAA
rnacentral:lncRNA from 1 species